UCUUCGCUAGUAUAUCGGUUAGUAUAACCGCCUCUCAAUAGGGAGUCUUUCCUAAUAGGAUUAGGUCGCGGUAGAGCAGGGUUCAACUCCCUGGCGGAGAA
rnacentral:tRNA from 1 species